rnacentral:rRNA from 1 species
CCUGCCCUCGCGACGGGAAUAACCUCGGGAAACUGAGGAUAAUUCCCGAUAGGCGAAGGGUUUUGGAAGAACCCUUCACCCAAAGGGAUGGGGAAAAUGGACCUCAUCCGCGCGAGGAUGGGGCUGCGUCCCAUCAGGCAGUUGGUGGGGUAAUGGCCCACCAAACCUAUAACGGGUACGGGCCGUGAGAGCGGGAGCCCGGAGAUGGGCACUGAGACAAGGGCCCAGGCUCUACGGAGCGCACCAAGCGCGAAACCUUCGCAAUGCGGGAAACCGUGACGGGGCCAUCCCGAGUGCGGGCCGCUGAGGCCCGCUUUUGCYCAGUGUAAGAAGCUGGGCGAAUAAGUGGGGGGCAAGACUGGUGUCAGCCGCCGCGGUAAUACCAGCUCCACGAGUGGUCAGGACGGUUAUUGGGCCUAAAGCGUCCGUAGCCGGCCCAGUAAGUUUAUGGUGAAAUCCGGCAUCUCAAGUGUCGGAGCGCUGUAAAUACUGCUGGGCUAGGGAGCGGGAGAGGCCGGGGRUACCUCCGGGGUAGGGGCGAAAUCCUAUAAUCCCGGAGUGACGACCAGUGGCGAAAGCGCCCGGCUAGAACGCGUCCGACGGUGAGGGACGAAAGCUGGGGUAGCAAACCGGAUUAGAUACCCGGGUAGUCCCAGCCGUAAACUAUGCGGGCUAGUUGUCGGGACGGCUUAGGGCCGCUCCGGUAACGCAGGGAAGCCAUUAAGCCCGCCGCCUGGGGAGUACGACCGCAAGGUUGAAACUUAAAGGAAUUGGCGGGGGAGCACCACAAGGGGUGAAGCUUGCGGCUCAAUUGGAGUCAACGCCGGAAAACUCACCAGGGGAGACAGCAGUGUGAAGGCCAAGCUAACGACUUUGCCAGACGCGCUGAGAGGAGGCGCAUGGCCGUCGCCAGCUCGUAUCGUGAGACGUCCGGUCAAGUCCGGGAACGAGCGAGACCUCCAUCUCUAGUUGCGACCCUUCAAGGGGCACACUGGAGAGACCGCCACCGAUUAAGGUGGAGGAAGGAGGAGGCAACGGCAGGUCAGCAUGCCCCGAAACCCCUGGGCCGCACGCGAGCUGCAAUGGCAGGUACAAUGGGAUUUGACCCCGUAAGGGGGA